AUUGAACGCUGGCGGCAGGCCUAACACAUGCAAGUCGAACGGUAACAGAAAGCAGCUUGCUGCUUUGCUGACGAGUGGCGGACGGGUGAGUAAUGUCUGGGAAACUGCCUGAUGGAGGGGGAUAACUACUGGAGACGGUAGCUAAUACCGCAUAACGUCGCAAGACCAAAGAGGGGGACCUUCGGGCCUCUUGCCAUCGGAUGUGCCCAGAUGGGAUUAGCUAGUAGGUGGGGUAACGGCUCACCUAGGCGACGAUCCCUAGCUGGUCUGAGAGGAUGACCAGCCACACUGGAACUGAGACACGGUCCAGACUCCUACGGGAGGCAGCAGUGGGGAAUAUUGCACAAUGGGCGCAAGCCUGAUGCAGCCAUGCCGCGUGUAUGAAGAAGGCCUUCGGGUUGUAAAGUACUUUCAGCGGGGAGGAAGGGAGUAAAGUUAAUACCUUUGCUCAUUGACGUUACCCGCAGAAGAAGCACCGGCUAACUCCGUG
rnacentral:rRNA from 1 species